AGCGAACGUUAGCGGCGGGCCUAACACAUGCAAGUCGAACGCGAAAGGUCUUCGGACUGAGUAGAGUGGCGCACGGGUGAGUAACACGUAGGUAAUCUACCCUUUGGCGGGGGAUAACGUUCCGAAAGGAGCGCUAAUACCGCAUAAGACCACGGAGUCUCCGGACGCUGUGGGAAAAGGUGGCCUCUUCUUGAAAGCUAUCACCGAAGGAUGAGCCUGCGUCCCAUCAGCUAGUUGGUAAGGUAAUGGCUUACCAAGGCGAAGACGGGUAGCUGGUUUGAGAGAAUGAUCAGCCACACUGGCACUGGAACACGGGCCAGACUCCUACGGGAGGCAGCAGUGAGGAAUAUUGGGCAAUGGGCGAAAGCCUGACCCAGCCACGCCGCGUGAGUGAUGAAGUCCCUCGGGUCGUAAAGCUCUGUGGAGAGGGACGAAAACCCUGGUUUCAAAUAGGCUCCAGGCUUGACGGUACCUCUUUAGCAAGCACCGGCUAACUCUGUGCCAGCA
rnacentral:rRNA from 1 species